rnacentral:rRNA from 1 species
AUUGAACGCUGGCGGCAGGCCUAACACAUGUAAGUCGAACGAGUGGCGGACGGGUGAGUAAUUUCUGGGAAACUGCCUGAUGGAGGGGGAUAACUACUGGCAACGGUAGCUAAUACCGCCUAACUUCAGAUGUGCCCAGCGGGGUUUAGCUAGUUGGUGGGGUAACGGCUCACCAAGGCUGAGUGCCCUAGCUGGUCUGAGAGGAUGACCAGCCACACUGGAACUGAUACACGGUCCAGACUCCUACGGGAGUCAGCAGUGGGGAAUAUUGCACAAUGGGCGCAAGCCUGAUGCAGCCAUGACGCGUGUAUGAAGAAGGCCUUCGGGUUGUAAAGUACUUUCAGCGGGGAGGCGUUACCCGCAGAAGAAGCACCGGCGAACUCCGUGCCAGCAGACGCGGUAAUAC